rnacentral:lncRNA from 1 species
UCCCAAUGAUAGAAAAAAGCUCCCCAAAUGAAGAGUGGAGGAAAUUUCUUUGCAGUGGAUUAAAAAGUAUAUAUUAUUAGUUAGACCAAAAAAAGUACUGUUAAUAGUGGUUUUAUUUCUUGAAAAUAAAUAAUUUCAGAUUCUCAUUCACUCCAAAUGUGGUUUUACAGCUACUGUUGUUCCUUUAAUGUGUUAUCUCACAUGAUUUGACCUGUCCGCUUAAAAAGUAUUCCAAUGGGUCAUCUAUAAAUAAGAAACCGGAUCAGUGACUUCAUGGGACUAGUUCAAAGUGUUUCUCCUGUAAAUGUUGCAAAAGAGAGAAAGACCAUUUGCAAUGUCUUUUGUGGACCGCUGAUUUCUGAAACUGAGCAUCGAACUAACUCAGCCCUGUCUUUGCCCGGAGGGUGAACAAUUACAUAAAGUCUGUGUCAUCCCACUUGUUAGAACGGUGGGUAAACAGCAUGAGACAAAAGAUAAAGCCAGCGCUCCUGUUCCUUGUCUCAUGUGAUAGAUGAGUCAGGAACCUCCGGACAGCAUGACGUGCAAAAACCAAAACACUGGGGCGGGUGAAAAACUCAAAGGAGAGAGUGGUGAAAUGGCAUCUACAAAUGGUACGUGACUGGGGAAAAACAGACAUAAGUAUGCCUGCAAGCAAAAUAGAAAGGGCAAGAUGGAUGGACGGUAUCCUUGAAGUGACUGGCUUGACCUUGAAGGAACUGGGGGUGGUGGAGCUCUGGAGUGGACUGGUCCAUGAGGUCACGAAGAGUCCGAGACGACUAUGCGACUGAGUAGCAGCAGAUGUUUAUGAAAUUAAUGGAGAAACGGGGUUCAUGAAGGAAAAAGUAAAGGCAGCAAGAAGGUGAGGAGAGAUAAUGACAAGAAAUCUGCUUGUGUGCACAUUCAGAUAUCCACAUCAGCACUUGUGAGGUCCAGGACAUCUUGGAGAGUCAAUUAAAAGAAAAGGGGGAAAAAGUGGACUUCUGCCUAAAAUCCACUACAAACAAAUGGGUCAGGAUGGUGAGGGAGCAUUUUCCAGGACUGACAGCUCCAUGUCAGGUACUGUGAUUUUUUGCCCCACUUAUUAUGAGGAUGUCUGGAAGUUGAAAAUGGGUAUUAGAGAGACCAUGGUAUCAACUACAGAAGUUUCCUUUCCCAAAUCAUAAAUCUGAAUUAAUUUGAAAGAUUUCUCACAGAUUAAAUAGCACCUUUCCCAGUCUUUGGUAUUAAAGUGUUGGUUCCUUCUGUAUCACACAGAUAGGUGACUUCACUUGUUGGCCAUCAUUCACUUGCAUGAUGUUUUUAGAUUUCUGGAGUACAUACAGGCCUCUGCAAGCCCUAGAUUUCUCUCUCCUAUGCAAGCCUGCUUCUCUUUUUUUUUCUGCGAUGGGGAAGAGGUACGGUCAAAUGAUUCAUCCUAUAUUCCUCCUUUUGUUGCCUGAUCAGGACAUUCCAUAGAUAUAUACACUCCAAUUGCCUCACUGCCAACAG